AUGUUCUCGGCCAUGUCUCUCUCACGCGCCAACAACAUACGAGUCGCCCUCACCAACGCCCAGAAAGGCUCCCAGACGGCGGCUGCAUACUUUGGUCACAUGCGUGCCCUCUCCGACGAGCUUGCAGCGGCGGGCAAGCCGAUCGGCGAGGAUGAACUGCUCUCCUUCAUCAUCGCUGGGUUGGACAUGGAAUACCAGCCCAUUAUCUCGGCGCUCGACGCAAGGACAGAACCGGUCUCCGUCGACAUCCUCUUCUCCAUGGUAGCAAACUUCGAUCAGCGGGUCGAGAUGUUCCAUGGAACAAAUGCCGGAUCCUUCAAGUCAUCGGCGAAUACUGCAUCUCGUGGUCGUCAGGGCAACACCAAAACCUACCAAAACCAAUGGAGUGGUGGAGGUGGUGGUGGAUCCCGUGGUGGAGGCGGCCAGUACGGAGGAGGCGGAGGACAGUAG
rnacentral:rRNA from 1 species